GAUGAACGCUGGCGGCGUGCCUAAUACAUGCAAGUCGAGCGAACAGAUGAGGAGCUUGCUCCUCUGACGUUAGCGGCGGACGGGUGAGUAACACGUGGAUAACCUACCUAUAAGACUGGGAUAACUUCGGGAAACCGGAGCUAAUACCGUAUAAUAUAUUGAACCGCAUGGUUCAAUAGUGAAAGACGGUUUUGCUGUCACUUAUAGAUGUAUCCGCGCCGCAUUAGCUAGUUGGUAAGGUAACGGCUUACCAAGGCAACGAUGCGUAGCCGACCUGAGAGGGUGAUCGGCCACACUGGAACUGAGACACGGUCCAGACUCCUACGGGAGGCAGCAGUAGGGAAUCUUCCGCAAUGGGCGAAAGCCUGACGGAGCAACGCCGCGUGAGUGAUGAAGGUCUUCGGAUCGUAAAACUCUGUUAUUAGGGAAGAACAAAUGUGUAAGUAACUAUGCACGUCUUGACGGUACCUAAUCAGAAAGCCACGGCUAACUACGUG
rnacentral:rRNA from 1 species